rnacentral:misc_RNA from 1 species
AAAAAACAAUUGCCAGACCCAUAUUACAUAAUUUUUUUUCUUGAAUUGCAUAAAAAACUAAUUCAAUGUCGACAUAAUUACGAAGACAGACCUUAAUUUAAAAUCAUUUUAGCAACGUCUUAAAAUGAAAAUAUUGUGAUAUAUUAUGAAAUAGGUCCUUUUCAAACAAAAAAUGAUAUAAUUAAUCAUAUAGGAUUGAAAUUACAUGUAUGUAUUAUAUAAAAUACAUGUAGAAUCAAAAAUGUUGAUUUAGUUUGAAGUCGUAAAGGAGGAAUAUAUAAAAUAAGGUCCACACAGCCGAUGUACUUUGCUAGUUAACAAUCCUUGUUUUAUAUAUAGAUAAUGAAUAGUCAUUCAUUGUAUUGUCGUAUGGAUGGAACAAUUUUUAUUUUGAGAAAAUAAACUGACCAUUCUAAUGCC